UAGAGCGGUAUAAACAAGUCAUCGUCUGUAUAAAAUUUUAGUUUGUACUAACUUCACUAGCACUUUUUACGUGGCCUGUUGUAAAAUCAGCCCAAUAUCGAGAUGAGUUGUUGUACGCCUGGGGGCAAGCAGAGGUCUUCCAGGGGGUACAUGUACCCCUGGCUGUGAACCACUGGUCCACACGGACCCUGCUGACAUGCACUAACAGUUCAUUAAUGCACUUUGAUCUAAUCUGUUUCCAAGAGGACUAGAUCAAAGCGCAUUAACGCACUGUUACUGUGCAUCAGCAGGGUCCAUAACAGUUAGUGCACAGCGGGCUAGUGGGGGGCAGAUUCAUACCCCAGCUUGCCAUGAACUAAUUGGUUGUGUAGGAGACAAGCCCCAGGACUGCAGCCAAGGUGAGUAUAUAGAUAAUGCUAUUCACUCAUCUACUGUUCUUGGAAACCUUGUUAUUACAGAGUCUGUGCAAAUAAAGAGAAAAUCCCUCCAGAGAGGAUAUUCCAGCUAGAGAAAUCACACAUAAGGGACUAACAUUUGGGUUUCCAUAAACUGACCUAAGACGCUGGUCUGAUUAAAACUGUUUGAAUGUAGAGUGCAUUCUGAAUGUAGGGUGCAUUCAACAGAAUAAGAGAGCCUGAGGCGGAGCAGGGCUGAGAUGCGGAGAGAAUUAUUUGCAUGUCCAGUCCCAUGUCACAUGACAAGGAUUCAGGCCCCUGACACCUGAGACGGGUCAGUGUUCAGAUUCCGGUGGCUCAGGGUGCACUGGCCCAGAUUCACAGAGGGAGCCCAGCACUAGAAUAGCAGCAGGGGCUCCAGGACUGGCUGUGGAUCUUCAGCAGAGUGGUGAGCAGAGGCCUGC